GCAGUGAAUAAUGUUCAUCUUGUCUGAUGCUGUCCUGCUUGGAGAAGCAGUAAGCUUUGCUCAGUGUUUGUGACUGCUGUUGAAGUCUACUCUCUAGUUGCUUACUGGAGAGAGUUCUGGUAGCCUGACUCAGCUGGCAAGUAUUAACAAAAGGACCCGUGCAGGCAAUCUGAUUCCUUGUGUUUGAACAGGAUAUGUACAGGAUGUGGAUAGAAAAACAUUGUGAACAGCAGAUCCUUUUGGCUGUUGAGCUUUCUGCACAGGGGAGUAAGUUCUUUAGGAAAUACAUAGCUAUGCAGAAGGACAAAGAAAAUGGAGUACUUAAACCUGUUGAUGGCCUGUGUGAAGAGCAUCUCAAAGGUUACCACUCUGGUCCCUGUAAUCCAAGGAAGCUGAAUAAAAGGCUUUUCAGUGCAGUUGUGAUACUGGUAUUCAUCCUAGUGGUGCUUCCUGUUGUCCACACUUUUCUUUGAGGAGUAUUGAGACCAAGUUUCUUUGUACUUAAAUAUGCUUUUAUUUAGUCUAGGAGGCACAAGGUGGUUGCUUUCUAUCUCUUGACAAUUCCUAGAAGAAAUUUCUAUGCCAGCUUCUUCAGACUUAUGGUUCUGGAGUAGGGUCGUGAUUAAGUAUCUGUUCUUUUGAGCUUGCCAGCUUUGCUUUUCCUACACUCCACAGCUUGGGCACAGUUUGGAAACCAUGGGUUCCUUGAAGCACUAGGUGAACAGUGACACAAGAGUGAGUCAGCAGCGUGCUAAAUGUCUAAUAUUUUCUCACAGGUGUGUGCUCUCUCUUCUCUAAAUUGCUUCUUGCUACUUUGGUUGCUUUUUAGCCUGAUAAGCAAAAUGAAAGUUUU